GUGGGGAAUCUUGCGCAAUGGGCGAAAGCCUGACGCAGCCAUGCCGCGUGAAUGAUGAAGGUCUUAGGAUUGUAAAAUUCUUUCACCGGGGACGAUAAUGACGGUACCCGGAGAAGAAGCUCCGGCUAACUUCGUGCCAGCAGCCGCGGUAAUACGAAGGGGGCUAGCGUUGCUCGGAAUUACUGGGCGUAAAGGGCGCGUAGGCGGAUCGUUAAGUCAGGGGUGAAAUCCCAGAGCUCAACUCUGGAACUGCCCUUGAUACUGGCGAUCUUGAGUGUGAGAGAGGUAUGUGGAACUCCGAGUGUAGAGGUGAAAUUCGUAGAUAUUCGGAAGAACACCAGUGGCGAAGGCGACUCACUGGCCCAAUACUGACGCUGAGGCGCGAAAGCGUGGGGAACAAACAGGAUUAGAUACCCCUGUAGUCC
rnacentral:rRNA from 1 species